rnacentral:rRNA from 1 species
GUAGUCUGCAACUCGACUACAUGAAGCUGGAAUCGCUAGUAAUCGCGAAUCAGAAUGUCGCGGUGAAUACGUUCCCGGGUCUUGUACACACCGCCCGUCACACCAUGGGAGUUGACAACGCCCGAAGUCAGUGACCCAACCGCAAGGAGGGAGCUGCCGAAGGCGGGGUUGAUAACUGGGGUGAAGUCGUAACAAGGUAAC